UUCUACUUCUCUUCUCCU
rnacentral:miRNA from 1 species